rnacentral:rRNA from 1 species
UGAGACACGGACCAGACUCCUACGGGAGGCAGCAGUGAGGAAUAUUGGUCAAUGGGCGAGAGCCUGAACCAGCCAAGUCGCGUGAAGGAUGAAGGAUCUAUGGUUCGUAAACUUCUUUUAUAGGGGAAUAAAGUGCGGGACGUGUCCUGUUUUGUAUGUACCCUAUGAAUAAGGAUCGGCUAACUCCGUGCCAGCAGCCGCGGUAAUACGGAGGAUCCGAGCGUUAUCCGGAUUUAUUGGGUUUAAAGGGUGCGUAGGUGGCUUUUUAAGUCAGCGGUGAAAGUUUGUGGCUCAACCAUAAAAUUGCCGUUGAAACUGGGGGGCUUGAGUAUAUUUGAGGUAGGCGGAAUGCGUGGUGUAGCGGUGAAAUGCAUAGAUAUCACGCAGAACUCCAAUUGCGAAGGCAGCUUACUAAACUAUAACUGACACUGAAGCACGAAAGCGUGGGGAUCAAACAGGAUUAGAUACCCUGGUAGUCCACGCAGUAAACGAUGAUUACUAGGAGUUUGCGAUACACAGUAAGCUCUACAGCGAAAGCGUUAAGUAAUCCACCUGGGGAGUACGCCGGCAACGGUGAAACUCAAAGGAAUUGACGGGGGCCCGCACAAGCGGAGGAACAUGUGGUUUAAUUCGAUGAUACGCGAGGAACCUUACCCGGGCUUAAAUUGCAGUGGAAUGAUGUGGAAACAUGUCAGUGAGCAAUCACCGCUGUGAAGGUGCUGCAUGGUUGUCGUCAGCUCGUGCCGUGAGGUGUCGGCUUAAGUGCCAUAACGAGCGCAACCCUUAUCUUUAGUUACUAACAGGUCGAGCUGAGGACUCUAAAGAGACUGCCAGCGUAAGCUGUGAGGAAGGUGGGGAUGACGUCAAAUCAGCACGGCCCUUACAUCCGGGGCGACACACGUGUUACAAUGGCAUGGACAAAGGGCAGCUACCGGGCGACCGGAUGCUAAUCUCCAAACCAUGUCUCAGUUCGGAUCGAAGUCUGCAACCCGACUUCGUGAAGCUGGAUUCGCUAGUAAUCGCGCAUCAGCCAUGGCGCGGUGAAUACGUUCCCGGGCCUUGUACACACCGCCCGUCAAGCCAUGGGAGCCGGGGGUACCUGAAGUACGUAACCGCAAGGAUCGUCCUAGGGUAAAACUGGUGACUGGGGCUAAGUCGUAACAAGGUAGCCGUACCGGAAGGUGCGGCUG